rnacentral:piRNA from 1 species
UCGGGCCACCGAUGAGUGUACAAACA